UAACUGAGCCGCUCAGGCGUUCCGCUAAAGUUGUUCUUUAAAAAAUACUCAUGUCUAGGCCCACGGCUACCCCCAUUAAAUCAGAAUCUCUGGUUUGGGGCCUGGGCCGAGACCCCCACUCUGGUGUCACCGUGACCCCAAACAUUUCAUUCCACUGCCAUCAUUCACACACUCACCCCGAGGGAGAAGGAGUGACCCCCCCCCAUUCACUUUCUGGGGCCACCGUAACCACCACCACAACCUGGGUGGCUUAAAACAACAGGAAUCCACUCUGUUCCAGGGCCCUGGGGCCAGAAGUCUGAAGUCCACGUGUCAGCAGAGUCAUGCUCCCCCCAAAAGUUCCAGGGAGGAUCCUUCCAUGCUUCUUCCAGCUUCUGGCAGUUGCCCACGAGCCUUGGCAUUUCUGGGCUUCUAGCUGCGUCCCUCCCAUCCCUGCCUCCCUCCUCAUGUGGCCUCCCUCCCUAUGUCUGUCCAUGUCCCUGUUUUCCCUUCUUACAAGGACACCAAUCAGUGGACUGGGCCCACCCUUGUCCAGAAUGACCUCAUCUUAACUAUUUACAUCUGCUAAGACCCUUUCUCCAAAUAAGGUCACAUUCCGAGGUUCUGGAUGGACAGGAAUUCCGGAGGGGCGCUAUUCAACCCAGCACGUUGAGAAUGGGAACCCAGUGAACCUUGUCAGGACCAGACGAUACAGCGACAGAGAAAGCGCUGCGGUGUUGAUCUUCACCUAACAGGCCCUCAAGCCCGUUGCUGAAUUGGUUCCAAAUUGCAAGGUUGGGGAAGAGAAUGAUGAUUGGUGAUCACCCCUAAGAAUAAUUACACACAGCCCAGAUCUUGAGCCAAACAUCACCUGAAGGAGACGCACAUGGAUUCAUUCAAUUCCACAGCCAAAAUAUGAGGUCAGGACUCAUCGUCCCCUUUUCCCAGAGACAGAGUGCGAGCAGGGGAGGGGCAGAA